GUCAUUUGGCUGUUACAGCCUGCAGGCAGAGGCAAGGGCCUCCAGCCAGCUAAUGUGAUGGACACGGUAUCUGGAGAGUCCUGCAUUUCAAAACUUACUCUAAGGAAGACUGCUUUGAUUUUCAAAGUCUCUAGUCUACAGAGAGAUUGAGCUCUGGCUGCAAGACACUGUCUAUCAUAGAGCCACAUGGCGACAUUGCCGUAGAGAAGAGACAUAAAUAACCACAACUGCCAGAAAAUAAAGCUGGUAAUCUCUAGAAAUGCCUGGAUACAUUAAAAUGAAAUAUAACCCAGUACUCUGGUUCUUUAGACCCCGUUGAAUACUUUGUUCUCAGUCAGCUGAUAAAAUUUUAAUUUAUUAUUGCGUGUUUAUGAUGAAAUGUAACAUAACUCAUUCAUUGUGUCUGUUAAUCCUCUCAUUCAUAAAAAUAGCAUAUGUGUUGAUGAUCUACAUUAAAGUAAUUGUUUACCAUGGGUAGUAUUAUAGCGAUAAUCUAUAAAUAAUGUGAAAGUUUGUAGAAAAUUAAAGUAUAUAGAACUGUAGAAAGAGAUAAAUCUUUAAAUAUUUAAGGUUUUGAUCUGCUUGUAUAAUGAACUGGUGUUUUAGCCAUUUGAGCCACCUAGUGGUAAUAUACAUGAGAUAUGAUUUCUUAUUCUGAAAAAAAAUGUAAAAGUUUAACAGUUUCCAAUUUAAAAGGAAUAAACUAAGUAAAGCGAAUCAUAACCAUUAUAUAUUAUACAUUCAGCUUUUGAAUUAUUACUUAUUGGUAGAAGAUUGACUAUUAGAAAAUAAAUUAUAAAAACAGUUCUUUGCUUAUUUUGUUUCUUCUAAUAGAGGCCACAUAGCCAAGAAAAUUAAAA
rnacentral:lncRNA from 10 species